AUGCUGGCGACCACAGCAGUCUUGAUCUUAUGGAUGCAAUUGUCAUGGGUGAAUGGACAACAGGUAAAGCAGAUUCCUCAGUUUCUGCAUAUACAAGAAGGAGAGAACUUCACCACUUACUGCAAUUCCUCAGGCACUUCAAACAGCUUACAGUGGUAUAAACAGAGGCCUGGGGGAAGUCCUGUCGCCUUGAUGAUAUUAAUGAAGGGUGGAGAAGUGAAGAAGCAGGAGAGACUGGCAGCUCGGUUUGGAGAAACAAGAAAGGACAGCUCCCUGCACAUCACAGCGGCCCAGACUGCAGAUGUGGGAACCUACUUCUGUGCAGUGGAGGCACAGUGCUCCCCAAGCACUUGCUGCCUGUCCCCAAACCUUGCCCUAGUGCCUCAGGAGCAGCUCCUUCUUCUGUUCUCUCAGAGCAUCGGCCAGAGAAAGCUGAAGUCACAAUGUCUGUGA